UGGGGAAUAUUGGACAAUGGGCGCAAGCCUGAUCCAGCCAUGCCGCGUGUGUGAAGAAGGCCUUUUGGUUGUAAAGCACUUUAAGCGAGGAGGAGGCUACUUGGAUUAAUACUCUAAGAUAGUGGACGUUACUCGCAGAAUAAGCACCGGCUAACUCUGUGCCAGCAGCCGCGGUAAUACAGAGGGUGCGAGCGUUAAUCGGAUUUACUGGUCGUAAAGCGUGCGUAGGCGGCUUCUUAAGUCGGAUGUGAAAUCCCUGAGCUUAACUUAGGAAUUGCAUUCGAUACUGGGAAGCUAGAGUAUGGGAGAGGAUGGUAGAAUUCCAGGUGUAGCGGUGAAAUGCGUAGAGAUCUGGAGGAAUACCGAUGGCGAAGGCAGCCAUCUGGCCUAAUACUGACGCUGAGGUACGAAAGCAUGGGGAGCAAACAGG
rnacentral:rRNA from 1 species